rnacentral:misc_RNA from 1 species
ACUUCCCUCUAGACCUAGCUGCUAUUGAAGCUCCCUCUACAAAUGGAUAAGGCUUUUGUCUUAGUGUAUACGAUUUUUUGAAAGAAGAAAAAAUAAAGGAGCAAUACUCAUUUUCUUGGUAAUGCUCCUUUAUUCCUUUUUUUUUUUUACUGUUUUCAAUUUUUUUCAAAGUGAAAAGUAAUAUUUUUUUUCUAAAAAAAAAAGUARAGGGGCGGAUGUAGCCA